AGCUUGUCAUUAUCUUAUAAUGACCGGAGGGACAGGGUAGUGGCCAUAGCUGCAUAAAGGAAAACCAAACCUCUAUUAGUACAUAAAUUAUAAAUACUAAAGACUUGAACUUUAGUCUAAAGUUUCUCCCAGUAUUUUUACGAACUGGUAGCCUCAACCUCCAAUUCGAGGAAUUACUUUAAUUCCUUAGUGGGUACUAGAAUCCACAC
rnacentral:lncRNA from 1 species